rnacentral:rRNA from 1 species
UCGCAUGGACGAAAGUCUGACGGAGCAACGCCGCGUGAGUGAUGAAGGCUUUCGGGUCGUAAAACUCUGUUGUUAGGGAAGAACAAGUGCUAGUUGAAUAAGCUGGCACCUUGACGGUACCUAACCAGAAAGCCACGGCUAACUACGUGCCAGCAGCCGCGGUAAUACGUAGGUGGCAAGCGUUAUCCGGAAUUAUUGGGCGUAAAGCGCGCGCAGGUGGUUUCUUAAGUCUGAUGUGAAAGCCCACGGCUCAACCGUGGAGGGUCAUUGGAAACUGGGAGACUUGAGUGCAGAAGAGGAAAGUGGAAUUCCAUGUGUAGCGGUGAAAUGCGUAGAGAUAUGGAGGAACACCAGUGGCGAAGGCGACUUUCUGGUCUGUAACUGACACUGAGGCGCGAAAGCGUGGGGAGCAAACAGGAUUAGAUACCCUGGUAGUCCACGCCGUAAACGAUGAGUGCUAAGUGUUAGAGGGUUUCCGCCCUUUAGUGCUGAAGUUAACGCAUUAAGCACUCCGCCUGGGGAGUACGG